GAUAGGAACGUAUCCGGGAGUGGGGGGAGUAACUAAGCCGAAAGGUUAAGCUAAUACCGCAUAUUCUCUGAGGAGGAAAGCGGGGGACUCGCAAGAGCCUCGCGCUCGCGGAGUGGCCUAUCUCCGAUUAGCUAGUUGGUGAGGUAAAGGCUCACCAAGGCGACGAUCGGUAGCUGGUCUGAGAGGAUGAUCAGCCACACUGGGACUGAGACACGGCCCAG
rnacentral:rRNA from 1 species